ensembl:snRNA LOC120095357 U6 spliceosomal RNA
GUGCUUGCUUUGGCAGCACAUAUACUAAAAACUGGAACGAUACAGAGAAGAUUAGCAUGGACCCUGCGCAGGGAUGACACACAAGUUCGUGAAUCGUUCCAUAAAAAA